GAGACCUAUUUCAUCCCUUUUCUGAUUCUUACAACCGUCUUCUUUAAAUUCAGCUCUGAUGAACAUACACCAGUAGAAGAUGAAGAGCCAAAGAAAAGCACCACUUCAGCUUCUACUUCAGAAGAAGAAAAGAAGAAGAAGAAGAAGUCUAGUCAUUCAAAAGAAAGGUCCAAGAAAAGGAGGAAGAAAAAAUCAUCUAAAAGAAAACACAAAAAGUAUUCUGACGAUAGUGACAGUGAGUCUGAUUCUGAAACUGACUCCAGUGGUAAGAAAAU